rnacentral:rRNA from 1 species
CAGCCGCGGUAAUACAGAGACCUCAGCGUUAUCCGGAUUACUGGGCGUAAAGCGUCUGUAGGGGGUUUAUUAAGUUCCAAGUAAAAUUUCAAGGCUCAACUUUGAAUUCGCUUGGAAAACUAAUAAACUGGAGUCUAGCAGAGGUGCAUGGAACUUGUGGUGUAGGAGUGAAAUCCGUUGAUAUCACAAGGAACACCAAAGGCGAAGGCAUUGCACUGGGCUAGCACUGACCCUGAGAGACGAAAGCGUGGGGAGCAAAACGGAUUAGAUACCCGUGUAGUCCACGCCCUAAACGAUGAAUGCUAAAUGUUCGGGGAUUCGACCCCCUGGGUGUUACAGCUAACGCGUUAAGCAUUCCGCCUGGGAAGUACGGCCGCAAGGCUAAAACUCAAAGGAAUAGACGGGGAUCCGCACAAGCGGUGGAGCGUCUGGUUUAAUUCGACAGUAAGCGUGGUACCUCACCAGGGUUUGACAUCCCUUGACAGCCUUGGAAACAAGGUUUCCUUCGGGCAAGGUGACAGGUGCUGCAUGGUCGUCGUCAGUUCGUGCCGUGAGGUGUUCCGUUAAGUCGGGAAACGAACGAAACCCCUAUUGCAUGUUACAAUUUCUCAUGCAAGACUGCCCGGAUAUACUGGGAGGAAGGUGGGGAUGACGUCAGAUCUGCAUGGUCCUUAUACCCUGGGCGACACAGGCGCUACAAUGGCAGAGACAAAGGGUUGCAAAACCGCAAGGUGAAGCUAAUCCCAAAAACUUUGUCUAAGUUCGGAUUGAAGGCUGCAAUUCGCCUUCAUGAAGCUGGAAUCGCUAGUAAUCGUGAAUCAGCCACGUCACGGUGAA